rnacentral:misc_RNA from 1 species
GAUGAAGAACGUAGCGAAAUGCGAUAAGUAGUGUGAAUUGCAGAAGUACCGUGAAUCAUCGAAUCUUUGAACGCAAAUUGCACUCUCUGGUAUUCCGGGGAGUAUGCCUGUUUGAGGGUCGCUUAACAAACCAUCGAUUUCGUUGCUUUUUUUUUAAAAAGUGAUGUUUAUCGGAUUUGAGCCGUCUUUUUUUUUUAUAUUUAAGUGGCUUAAAAUUUAUUUUUUUGGUACGAUCGAAGCGUAUUUUUAUGAUCAAUUUUUGGUUAAAGAAACGCACACGUACCGUUAUUUAUAUGAUGUAAUACGUUUGACUAUUGGAUUUAGUUCAUUCGUAUACGAUAUUUUUCAAUAUUUGACCUCAAAUCAGGUAAGAACACCCGCUGAACUUAAGCAUAUCAAUAAGCGGAGGA